GCCGGGCGUUGUGACGAGCGCCUGUAAUCCAAGUGACUGGGAGGCUUGCGAUGGUGGAUGGAGUGCGAGAGGGAGUCCUGGCUGGUGUGCGACGAUGACGACCGAGCGUCCAGGGCAAGCGUGGCGUCGAUAAGGUGUCACGGCAGGAGUGGUGUGGCACCUGGUCGCACAAUGAGGGGCGUACGGCUCAGGGCCGAAAGGCAGCAGGCAAAAGUCCCCGCGUCAUGACAGUGUCCGGAUAGCGCACGCGAGUCGUCCGCACCAGUCAGCCUUCUCAACACCUUCAGACCCAUCGCUUU
rfam:Gongylonema pulchrum genome assembly, scaffold: GPTH_scaffold0005077